GUAGUCUCGCACAGAUGCAUAUCAAUAAGCGGAGGAAAAGAAACUAACAAGGAUUCCCCUAGUAACGGCGAGUGAAGCGGGAAGAGCUCAAAUUUGAAAUCUUAAAGGGUUUCCCUUUACGAAUUGUAGUUUAAAGAAGUGUUUUCUGUUGAGGUUUUGGUAAAAGUUCUUUGGAAUAGGACAUCAUAGAGGGUGAGAAUCCCGUAUUUGACCUUUACUUUCAACUUUGUGAUACACUUUCAAAGAGUCGGAUUGUUUGGGAAUGCAGUCCAAAAUGGGUGGUAAAUUUCAUCUAAAGCUAAAUAUUGGCGAGAGACCGAUAGCGAACAAGUACCGUGAGGGAAAGAUGAAAAGAACUUUGAAAAGAGAGUUAAACAGUACGUGAAAUUGUCAAAAGGGAAGCGUUUGACACCAGUGUUGUUUUUCUGAAAAUCAAUUAAAGAACUGUUUAUGCUAAGCUGUUUAGACUUUAUCAGCUAACUGUUUAGUUUUGAGCUUUUCUUUAAUGCACUUUACAGUUAACAAGUCAACAUCAAUUUCUUUUGCUGUAAAAAAGCUUGAGGAAGGUGGCUUGAGAUUCGUCUUAAGUGUUUAUAGCCUCUUGCCUAUGCAGUCGGAGAGAUUGAGGUCUGCAGCGUAGAUCCUUCGGGGCUAAAUGCAUUUGUGCUAAGUUAUAGCAUUUUAUAGACAACUUGUUGACUAUGAUUUGUCUUGUAGCUUACUCGCUUAUGUUAUUUUACCUACGCUUAGGAUGUUGAGUAGCGACAUACGCAC
rnacentral:rRNA from 1 species